GUUCUUAUGGUGUAUAUAGCACGCUAGAUUUUCAAUCUUUUAGAAUAUAUUAAAAUAAAUUUAUAUUAAGAAUA
rnacentral:tRNA from 1 species